UGCAGUCGAACGGUAGCAGGAAGUGCUUGCACUUUGCUGACGAGUGGCGGACGGGUGAGUAAUACUUAGGAACAUGCCUUUGUGUGGGGGAUAACCAUUGGAAACGAUGGCUAAUACCGCAUAAUGUCUUUGGACCAAAGAGGGCUUUCGGGCUCUCGCGCAAAGAGUGGCCUAAGUGAGAUUAGCUUGUUGGUGAGGUAAAGGCUCACCAAGGCGACGAUCUCUAGCUGUUCUGAGAGGAAGAUCAGCCACACUGGGACUGAGACACGGCCCAGACUCCUACGGGAGGCAGCAGUGGGGAAUAUUGCACAAUGGGGGCAACCCUGAUGCAGCCAUGCCGCGUGUGUGAAGAAGGCCUUCGGGUUGUAAAGCACUUUCAGUUGUGAGGAAAGGUUGGUGGUUAAUACCCAUCAGCUGUGACGUUAGCAACAGAAGAAGCACCGGCUAACUCCGUGCCAGCAGCCGCGGUAAUACGGAGGGUGCGAGCGUUAAUCGGAAUUACUGGGCGUAAAGCGCACGCAGGCGGUUAUAUAAGCUAGAUGUGAAAGCCCCGGGCUCAACCUGGGAAUAGCAUUUAGAACUGUAUGACUAGAGUCUUGGAGAGGGGGGUGGAAUUCCAGGUGUAGCG
rnacentral:rRNA from 1 species